AUGGGGGCCACGGAGGGAAGGCUGGCCUCGGGGACCCCACAGAGCGGCUGGAGCGCCAAGCAGGCGCGGGGAAGGCGGGCUGCCCAGGGCUCGCCGUGCUGGCCCAGGGCAGGGGCUCAGGAGCCCGGGCAGGGCCAUGUCCACACCAACAGGGCUGCAACCCUGGGGCGGCAGAGCUCUGCGGGGCUGCUGGGCCUUCGAGGAAUGAGAUGGGCUGGGGGCCGGGAGCCUGAGGGCUUCGCUCGGCCAGAUGUGCUGCAGGCACAGGGCGGGGCUGCGGCUGAGGACGAGGCCAGGAUGGACAGCUGCGGGGACACACCUAGUUCCACAGUGGUCGUGGGCUGCCUGGUCUCGAGCUACUUCCCUGAGCCAGCGACCGUGAACUGGAACUCGGGCGCCCAUUCCAGUGACGUGCACACCUUCCCAUCCAUCCACGGGUCUUCGGGGCUGUACUCCCUCAUCAGCACUGUGACCGUGCCUGCCAGCACCUCAUCCGGCAAGAGCUUCACCUGCAACGUAGACCACCCGGCCAGCGACACCAAGGAGGAGACGCACAUCGAAAUCAACGGCCCAAACCCCUGUACCAGGUGUCCCCAAUGUCCAGUCCUUGAGCUCCCAGGAGGACCGUCCGUCUUCAUCUUCCCCCCGAAACCCAGAGACACCCUCACAAUAUCCCGAACCCCGGAAGUCUGCUGCAUGGUGGUGGACGUGAGCAAGGAGGACCCCGAUGUCCUGUUCUCCUGGUACGUGGACGAUGUAGAGGUGCACACGGCCAAGACGACGUCAAGGGAGGUGCAGUUCAACAGCACGUACCGUGUGGUCAGCACCCUGCCCAUCCAGCACCAGGACUGGCUGACGGGAAAGGAGUUCAAGUGCAAGGUCAACAACAAAAACCUCCCAACCCCCAUCGUGAGGACCAUCACCAAGGACAAAGGGCGGCUCCGCGAGCCGCAGGUGUACGUACUGCCCCCACCACAGGAAGAGCUGGCCGAGAUCUCGGUCAGCUUAACCUGCAUGGUCACCGACUUCUACCCGGGCGACAUCUACGUGGAGUGGCAGAGAAACGGACAGUCAGAGUCAGUGGGCAAUUACAACACGACCCCACCCCAGCUGGAGGACGAAGACUCCUUCUUCCUGUACAGCAAGCUCAGGGUGGACAAGAAGAGCUGGCAGCAGGAAGACACCUACACGUGUGUAGUUUUUCACGAGGCUCUACACAAUCACAACACGCAGAAGUCCAUCUCCCAGUCGGGUAAUUGA